rnacentral:rRNA from 1 species
AUGCCGCCGCCGAGCGCCCGCGGCCCCGUCAUCCUCGACACCUCGCCACACACUCCUCGCGCCGCCACCGUAUCGCCAUGGCCACCUCGCGCCGCCACCCUCUCGCCACUGCCACCUCGCGCCGCCACCCUCUUGCAGCACAGAUCAUCUGCGGAGGACCCUCAUGCCGCUGCCGGCGAGCAGCAGCAAGCGGCGGACAAGGCGCCUCGCACCGCCGAGCAGGAGCCGGUGCCCAAGGUGCAUGAGCCUAAGCCGCCACCGCAGCAGCCGAGGCGGCAGCCGUACCGUCAGGCGGCGGACAAGGCGGCUCACGCCACCAGCAACGGCGAGCAGGAGCCGGCGCCCAAGGUGGAGCCUAGGCAGCCAACGCCGCAGAGGCAGCAGCCACCGCGCCAGGCGUCAAUGAAGGAGAAGGGCAAGGCGCCGAUGGUGCAGGAGCCCCCGCGGCGGCGCCGCACGUCGCGCAGAGGGCGGCCGCCGCCGUGGCGGCGGCGGCCCGGCCGCCCGUGCCGUUCGUCGCGACCCAGCUCACCCGCAGGGAGAAGGAGGAGGACUGGUUCGCGAUGA